rnacentral:rRNA from 1 species
CAGCAGUGGGGAAUAUUGCACAAUGGGCGCAAGCCUGAUGCAGCCAUGCCGCGUGUGUGAAGAAGGCCUUCGGGUUGUAAAGCACUUUCAGUCGUGAGGAAGGCGGGUACGUUAAUAGCGUAUUCGUUUGACGUUAGCGACAGAAGAAGCACCGGCUAACUCCGUGCCAGCAGCCGCGGUAAUACGGAGGGUGCGAGCGUUAAUCGGAAUUACUGGGCGUAAAGCGCAUGCAGGUGGUUUGUUAAGUCAGAUGUGAAAGCCCGGGGCUCAACUUCGGAAUAGCAUUUGAAACUGGCAGACUAGAGUACUGUAGAGGGGGUAGAAUUUCAGGUGUAGCGGUGAAAAUGCGUAGAGAUCUGAAGGAAUACCGGUGGCGAAGGCGGCCCCCUGGACAGAUACUGACACUCAGAUGCGAAAGCGUGGGGAGCAAACAGGAUUAGAUACCCUGGUAG